rnacentral:lncRNA from 10 species
AGAAUAUCCACCAAAUGGUAAUUGCUCUUCCUUUCAGAGCCUUUGACCAUGACUUCCCAAUGCCUAGAAUGCUUCUAUCCUUGUCUUGCCUGUGGAAAUGCUGUUCAUUCAUGUGGCCCCAAGGACAAUGUCCUGUCUUCACAAUCCUGGUUUGAUUUCCAAGUGUUACAUAAGCUCCAUAUAGUCAGUCUUGUAUCAUUCACCAUUGUGUCUCCAGGACCCUGAAUUGCAUCUGACGUGUAGUAAAGAUUGGAUGAACAAGUUCCCAAGAAAAUGCAUUAAAAGUGAUUGUGAACUACAGAUGGAAACACACCUCUUUGACCUUUGACAUGUAUCUGUGCCUUGCCAGCUACAGUACUGGGAACUUUCAGGUUAGUGGGAGGUGGGGGGAGAAGGUGCUUCAUUUCAGUGGGAGAAAGGGGUUUAGGGGCCUUUUGUUGUUCACAGUGUAGUCUGCAUCGCUAUGUAGCUUAUUGGAAAUGCAGAAUUUAGGUCCUAUUCAGGAAUUUGCAAUUGGAAUCUAUGUUUUUAUCAAGAUCCUUAGGUGAUGUGUGUGCACGAAAUUAUUCUCUCUUAUACAGAAGUUGGCACAACUUCCAAGUUCAAAGAAACACAGGAUUUUACAUUCAGGAACAUCUGCUUUAAUUUGUGCUUGAAAUAAAGUGUGAAUGUAAACAUCUUUCAAUGAUCUUUCUCUUCUAGGCAUUUCUACAGCACUUAGUGUGGGUCACAAAAUUAACAUAACAUUAUAGAAUGUUUUGCACUAAAGGAUGUUGUCUCACAAUUAAAUUUUAAUGAUGUCUGAAGAGCACCAUAAACAAUACGUGCUAUAGAAAUUCAAAGAAGAAAUUUGGAUUACUUGGGUAACCUAUAAAUAAGCUACAUGGAGAAAGGUAGAUAUGAAACCUGCUAUUGAGAGAUGAGGAUGGAUUGGAUAGUGGCAAGAAAUUUCAGUAAAGGCAAUGACAAUAGCAAAGGUGUAAACAGAGAAAGAGCAAAGCAAGUUCAGAAAUUCACAAGGAAAUAUGUUAAUGAAGUGUGGUGAUGGGACUCAUAAAGAGAAACAUUGACCAAGGCAGGUUCAGAUUAGUGUUGAAUUCCAAGUUGAAUUACAAAAUUUCCUGUAGUAAAUAAACAUGUUUUGAGUAAGUAACAAAAUGAAAAAAAUGUGUAUUAGAAAGAAAGUUUAAUCAAGCAAAGGUAUGAAGCAUGCAGGUCUAGUUACUAAUGUCAAUAUUAUAAUGCUGGAUCUUAAUAAAUGAUUGCUGAAUUUCAAGUAAAUGAAUAUACAGUGAUUCGUAUAAUUUGCAGGAAAAGAAAUUAGUUUCUGAAGUCAAUUAACUCUUCUUCAAUUUGUUUACAUGUUUCACAAUUUUCCAAAAGGUGGUAGCAAUUGACAGAAAGUCAUCAACAGACAGAGGAAAUGAAUGUAGAUGUAGGAUAGAUGCACUUGUCUGAACAUGGCUCUAGGUGGGACUCUGCAGCAUUUUUCUUUCUAGAUACGUCUCUGGAUUCCUGUCACUUUCAAACGUAUCUCUGUCUUUCUAGUGUGAGAAUAUCUAAUUACCAGUGGAGGUAAGUGGAGAAACUCCUUUUGUCAUUCUGUGUUCUGGUGGCUCCUCCUGACUGUUAUAGCCAGACACCUACCCAUAAGGUUUCAAGUAUUUGUUUAUAACCUAACACAUUCUUUAUUCAUUUUUUAAAAAUUGACAAAUAAAAUUUUGUAUAUGUUUAUUGUGUAAGCAUAUUGUUUUGAAAUAUGUACACAUUGUGAAAUGGCUAAAUGGAGCUAAUUAACAUAUGUGUUAUCUUCCACACUUAUUUUUGUGCUGAGAACACUCGCAUGAUCUUACUUACGUGCAGAGUGUUAAAAAGUUGAACUCCUAGAAAUAUGGAGUAAAAAGGUGGUUGCCAGAGACUGGGAGAAGGGAAGAAUGAUUGAGGAGAUGUUUGUCAAAAGAUAAAAUAUUUGAGUUAGAUAGGGGGAGUAAUUCAAC